GAUUAAGCCAUGCGAGUAGAGAGAAAUCAGAUUCUUUGCGUACCGCUCAGUAACACGUGGGUAACCUGCCCUAUGCUUGGGAAUAACCUCGGGAAACUGAGAAUAAUGCCCAAUAGUCCACUACGCCUGGAACGGUGAGUGGAUCAAAGCUUCGGCGGCAUAGGAUGGGCCUGCGCCGUAUCAGGUCGUAGGGGGUGUAAAGUACCCUCUAGCCAUCAACGCGUACGGGUGUUGGGAGACAUUGCCCGGAGAUGGAUUCUGAGACACGAAUCCAGACCCUACGGGGUGCAGCAGGCGCGAAAACUUGGCAAUGCGAGCAAUCGUGACCAGGGAACUCCAAGUGCGUAGGGUAAGACCUACGCUUUUCUUGACUCUUCAAAGGUCUUGGAAUAAGGGGUGGGUAAGGACGGUGCCAGCCGCCGCGGUAAUACCGGCGCCUCAAGUGGUAGUCGCUUUUAUUGGGCCUAAAACGUCCGUAGCCGGUCUGGUGCAUUCGUGGGUAAAUCAACCCGCUCAACGGGUUGAAUUCUGCGAGCACGGCCAGACUUGGGACCGGGAGAGGUGUGGGGUACUCUCAGGGUAGGGGUAAAAUCCUGUCAUCCUGAGAGGACCACCUGUUGCGAAGGCGCCACACUAGAACGGAUCCGACGGUCAGGGACGAAACCUAGGGGCACGAACCGGAUUAGAUACCCGGGUAGUCCUAGGUGUAAACGCUGUGGACUUGAUGUUGGGGGUGCUCCGAGCUCCCUCAGUGUCGAAGCGAAGGUGAUAAGUCCACUGCCUGGGGAGUACGGUCGCAAGGCUGAAACUUAAAGGAAUUGGCGGGGGAGCACUGC
rnacentral:rRNA from 1 species